GUGAUUAAGAGACCACUGAGAGCAGAAGAGGAGACUAACGCUGGAUGCUUGUUGACUGGGAUUCCUCACAAAGAAGCAUCACAUAGCUACCCAAGAGUUAGCAGCUAGCUUCAAAUGGCGGGGCCUUUGUUCCGUGAUAUCGACGCUGUGACUAUCAAAAGAAGCAACCACGCCGGCUGCCAUAAGAGUUGUUGAAUCAGUGAAUCCUCCAUCUGAUCAGUGGGUUGAGUGUUUGCCUGCAGUUGAUUCGCACCAGCCCGAUUAUGCAGAGGAGAAGCAGAAUGACAUCAUUCACAGUAUCGAACAGCUGAAUGACAGAGUUGAUGCACU